CCCGCUGAACUUAAGCAUAUCAAUAAGCGGAGGAAAAGAAACCAACAGGGAUUGCCUUAGUAACGGCGAGUGAAGCGGCAACAGCUCAAAUUUGAAAUCUGGCCUUCUGGUCCGAAUUGUAAUUUGUAGAGGAUGCUUCAGGCAUGGUCCAGUCUAAGUUCCUUGGAACAGGACGUCAUAGAGGGUGAGAAUCCCGUAUGCGACUGGGUGCCUAAGCCUGUGUGAAGCUCCUUCGACGAGUCGAGUUGUUUGGGAAUGCAGCUCAAAAUGGGUGGUAAAUUUCAUCUAAAGCUAAAUAUUGGCCAGAGACCGAUAGCGCACAAGUAGAGUGAUCGAAAGAUGAAAAGCACUUUGGAAAGAGAGUUAAACAGUACGUGAAAUUGUUGAAAGGGAAGCGUUUGCAACCAGACUUGCGUGCAGUUGAUCAUCCAAUGUUUUCACUGGUGCACUCAAUUGUAUUCAGGCCAGCAUCGGUUUUGGUGGUUGGAUAAAGGCCUUGGGAAUGUAGCUUCCAUUGGGAGUAUUAUAGCCCUUGGUGCAAUGCAUCCUACCGGGACCGAGGACCGCGCUUCGGCUAGGAUGCUGGCGUAAUGGUUGUAAGCGACCCGUCUUGAAACACGG
rnacentral:rRNA from 1 species